rnacentral:rRNA from 1 species
AGUGAACGCUGGCGGUAGGCUUAACACAUGCAAGUCGAACGGCAGCACAGUAAUAGCUUGCUCUUACAGUUGCCGAGUGGCGGAUGGGUGAUGAAUACACCGCAAUCUACUUUUUCGUGGGGGUGAACGACGGGAAAUUUACCCGAAUACCGCAUAUUACUUAUGGGUUAAAUCAGGAGAUUUUCGGACCUUGCGCGAUUUAAUGAGCUGAUGUCGGAUUAGCUAGUUAGCGGGGUAAAGGCCCACCAAGGCGACGAUCGGUAGCUGGUCUGAGAGGAUGAACAGCGACACUGGAACUGAGACACGGUACAGACUCCUACGGGAGGCAGCAGUGGGGAAUAUUGGAAAAUGGGCGCAAGCCUGAUCCAGCCGUACCGCGUGGGUGAAGAAGGCCUUCGGGUUGUAAAGCCCUUUUGUUGGGAAAGAAAAGCAGCAGGUUAAUACCACGCUGUUCUGACGGUACCCAAAGAAUAAGCACCGGCUAACUUCGUG